rnacentral:rRNA from 1 species
GUGAGUAAUGCCUAGGAAAUUGCCCUGAUGUGGGGGAUAACCAUUGGAAACGAUGGCUAAUACCGCAUGAUGCCUACGGGCCAAAGAGGGGGACCUUCGGGCCUCUCGCGUCAGGAUAUGCCUAGGUGGGAUUAGCUAGUUGGUGAGGUAAGGGCUCACCAAGGCGACGAUCCCUAGCUGGUCUGAGAGGAUGAUCAGCCACACUGGAACUGAGACACGGUCCAGACUCCUACGGGAGGCAGCAGUGGGGAAUAUUGCACAAUGGGCGCAAGCCUGAUGCAGCCAUGCCGCGUGUGUGAAGAAGGCCUUCGGGUUGUAAAGCACUUUCAGUCGUGAGGAAGGUGGUGUAGUUAAUAGCUGCAUUAUUUGACGUUAGCGACAGAAGAAGCACCGGCUAACUCCGUGCCAGCAGCCGCGGUAAUACGGAGGGUGCGAGCGUUAAUCGGAAUUACUGGGCGUAAAGCGCAUGCAGGUGGUUUGUUAAGUCAGAUGUGAAAGCCCGGGGCUCAACCUCGGAAUAGCAUUUGAAACUGGCAGACUAGAGUACUGUAGAGGGGGGUAGAAUUUCAGGUGUAGCGGUGAAAUGCGUAGAGAUCUGNAAGGAAUACCGGUGGCGAAGGCGGCCCCCUGGACAGAUACUGACACUCAGAUGCGAAAGCGUGGGGAGCAAACAGGAUUAGAUACCCUGGUAGUCCACGCCGUAAACGAUGUCUACUUGGAGGUUGUGGCCUUGAGCCGUGGCUUUCGGAGCUAACGCGUUAAGUAGACCGCCUGGGGAGUACGGUCGCAAGAUUAAAACUCAAAUGAAUUGACGGGGGGCCCGCACAAGCGGUGGAGCAUGUGGUUUAAUUCGAUGCAACGCGAAGAACCUUACCUACUCUUGACAUCCAGAGAACUUUCCAGAGAUGGAUUGGUGCCUUCGGGAACUCUGAGACAGGUGCUGCAUGGCUGUCGUCAGCUCGUGUUGUGAAAUGUUGGGUUAAGUCCCGCAACGAGCGCAACCCUUAUCCUUGUUUGCCAGCGAGUAAUGUCGGGAACUCCAGGGAGACUGCCGGUGAUAAACCGGAGGAAGGUGGGGACGACGUCAAGUCAUCAUGGCCCUUACGAGUAGGGCUACACACGUGCUACAAUGGCGCAUACAGAGGGCGGCCAACUUGCGAAAGUGAGCGAAUCCCAAAAAGUGCGUCGUAGUCCGGAUUGGAGUCUGCAACUCGACUCCAUGAAGUCGGAAUCGCUAGUAAUCGUGGAUCAGAAUGCCACGGUGAAUACGUUCCCGGGCCUUGUACACACCGCCCGNCACACCAUGGGAGUGGGCUGCAAAAGAAGUAGGUAG